rnacentral:lncRNA from 1 species
GAGAGAGAGAGAGAGAGAGAGAGAGAAUAUGAAUGAAUAUGUAAGGCAUUUUGGCCUUUAGUUUUGUGUUGUCUUGCUUCUAUUUCCCCCUUUUUGAAUUGGGUCAAUGUUGGUGGCAUAUAAAGGAGUUGGGAUUUUCCCUUCAUUUUGUGUUGUAGAAUACUUUGUAUAGAGUAAUAUUUUCUUUAAACAUUAACUUCCUAAUGAAACCUUAUCUAGCCCGGUAGUUUUCUUUUUCACUAGUGCCUCCCUCCAGGUACUCAGUACCCCUGAGCUACAUCCUCCAUUUUUUUCUUACUAUAUAUUUCUUUUUCUUUUUUUCUUGUUUCUUUUCACAUUCCUCCUGCCUCUACCUUCCUUUCUAAAUUCUGGUAUUAUAGACAUGUGGCCCCCCUAGCUGGCCUCUUUGUUGUUGUUGUUUUUUUAAAUACCUCUAAGAUAUGUAGUUACAGAGUUUGUUUCUUGUUGAUAUUGGGGAUUUGUAAAUUAUCCUUUUUUCUACUAUGAAGAAAAGGUUAUCAGUUUUAUGGAUCUUGUCAAAGUAUCACAUUUUUAAAAUGUCAUCAGGUGUUUUUUGAUUUUUGUUUUUUUGAAUCCAACUCUUUAUUAUUUCCUUUCUUUUUUGUUUCCUUGGAUUUAAUUUACCCUUCUCCUAUUUUUUUUUUAAAGUAAGUUUUUAUUUGCUAAAAAUUCUUGCUUUAUGUGGCACUCUCUGCAUGAGCAAAGUCCCGGCUUCUGCCUAGUAGCUAAAUUGGUAAGCAUGCAAGUCUGAGUGGGCAAGGUCAGCUGCCUCUCUGAUUCUCCCACGCUCUCUAGAAUUAGGUAGUCACCUCUUCUUUUUGCUCUUUAGUUACUUGCUACUUUGAAGUAGUUGCUUAAAGUAAAUUGCACUCUCUGAUUGUAACCAUGUGAGUGCUAAUUGGGCCUCUGCCUGCUUCUUACCUGGAAGUGACCCUUCUAAAACAGAUGAAUUUUGGGCUUUCAGCAAUUUCUCAUCUCCUUGUAGUUCAUACUGGCUCACAAAAGCAAGUCAUGUGACUGUUGACCUAAUUUUCUUUUGAAGUUGGUUUUCCUAAUUGACUGGGCAAAUGCUGGAGGCAUGUCGUUUCAGGUCAGAUCCUUAAGGCCUGUCAGGUUCUGCUUAGGGAGGAUAAAAUGUGAGAUGAGUGAAAAUAUAAUUAGAGAAACUCUUGGCUAACUGAAAAAAUUCUAUUCAAAGAAUAUUGGCAGAUUCAUGGAAGCCACAAGUGUUUUCAUCUGAAUGUACGCCUUAGAGAGAGGAUUCCUAAAAAUGUCCAAGUACCUGAGUUCCAUGCUAUACUCACAGUAUCAGAAUUGAAGACCAAUUGGGAAAUGUUACUCUCAAAAUGCAUUUGUAGAAAAUGUGAUGGGAACUUCUAGCUAAAAUGCUGAGUUGAACUUAGUGUGGUCCCUGAGCUCUUUCACACACACUUGUGAUCAUUGUCUGCAUCUCUUUUUCAACCUCAUAUUAGUGUUGGUACCUUGAAAUUAGAUAUCAUGGGAUUAUUUCUAUUGUAAAAAGUCUAUAGAGCAGUUCAUCACUCUGGAGAACAAUUACAGGUACAGUAUUAGUUAAAUUGAAUAAGACCAAAUAGAUGUGGAAGUAUAAAAGCCUGUAGGAAUGGAGAAUAAUAGCAUGGUUACAUAUAAUUUAAAGAUGUCGUAAGGAUUUAACUAUUAACUUUGCAUAAGCCAAGAAUAAAAUCCUAGUCAUUGGUACAUAGUAAGUUUUACAGAACAACAAUAACCAAAUAAUAAUAAUAAUAACAAUAAUAAUAAUAAUAAAAUAAAAUGAAAGAAAGAAAAAAAGCAGAGAGCUCUCCAACAUGUCUGGAAUAUUGGGCAUGAUAAUGAGUACCGUGACCUAAAAGGUUACUGAACUUUCCUAGAACAAGCCAUCAGCAUAGGCACGGAGUAGCAGUGGAAAAUUUAGCACAGAGUACUUGGGGGAUACAUGGGUAAUGAGCAGAGCCUGGAUGACGAACAAGAAGGAGGGCCAUUCUAUAGGCCACACACAAUCACAUAAAAUGGGAUUUUUUGAAGAAGUGAAUAUUGAGUGGCCAUUUUUGCUCUUUGGAACUUUCAAGAAGUUGAAAUUGCUCUAAAAUUAAAUUGAUGGAUAUAUAAUAGGUUUACAGAUUGUUUGAUAGGUAGCUGCUACAAAUGGAUUUUAGAGAAAAUUCUUGCUGUGGGUAGGAAGAUGGAUUAAAUUGGUAACUUUUAACUCUAGUUGCACAUCAGAAUUACCAGAGAAUGUCCAAAAUAGAAACUUGAUGUAGUCUGGCGUGGUAGCACAUGCCUUUAACCCCAGUGUUCCUAUGGCGGGCAGAUCACUGAGUUCGAAGCCAGCCUGAUCUACAAAGUGAGUGCCAGGGUUACAUGGUGAGACCCUGUCUCAUAACCAAUCCAACCAACCAACCAACCAACCAACCAACCAACCAACCAACCAACU